AGUGAACGCUGGCGGUAGGCCUAACACAUGCAAGUCGAGCGGCAGCACAGUAAGAGCUUGCUCUUACGGGUGGCGAGUGGCGGACGGGUGAGGAAUACAUCGGAAUCUACUUUUUCGUGGGGGAUAACGUAGGGAAACUUACGCUAAUACCGCAUACGACCUACGGGUGAAAGCAGGGGAUCUUCGGACCUUGCGCGAUUGAAUGAGCCGAUGUCGGAUUAGCUAGUUGGCGGGGUAAAGGCCCACCAAGGCGACGAUCCGUAGCUGGUCUGAGAGGAUGAUAAGCCACACUGGAACUGAGACACGGUCCAGACUCCUACGGGAGGCAGCAGUGGGGAAUAUUGGACAAUGGGCGCAAGCCUGAUCCAGCCAUACCGCGUGGGUGAAGAAGGCCUUCGGGUUGUAAAGCCCUUUUGUUGGGAAAGAAAAGCAGCAGGUUAAUACCCCGCUGUUCUGACGGUACCCAAAGAAUAAGCACCGGCUAACUUCGUG
rnacentral:rRNA from 1 species